rnacentral:rRNA from 1 species
CUAGGAUUAACGCUGGCGGCGUGCCUAAUACAUGCAAGUCGAAUGGUAGCAAUACCAUGGCGAACGGGUGAGUAACACGUAGGUAACCUGUCUUUAAGCCGAGGAUAACCAUUGGAAACGAUGGAUAAUACUGGAUAGGACAUUUGAAGGCAUCUUUAGAUGUUUAAAGAUUUAUUACUUAGAGAGGGGCCUGCGGCGCAUUAGCUAGUUGGUGAGGUGAAGGCUUACCAAGGCGAUGAUGCGUAGCCGGACUGAGAGGUUGAACGGCCACAAUGGAACUGAGAACGGUCCAUACUCCUACGGGAGGCAGCAGUAGGGAAUUUUCGGCAAUGGGCGGAAGCCUGACCGAGCAACGCCGCGUGAACGAAGAAGUAUUUCGGUAUGUAAAGUUCUUUUAUUAGGGACGAAAAGACAGAUUGACGGUACCUAAUGAAUAAGCUCCGGCUAACUACGUGCCAGCCGCAGC